UCUGUAGUUGGUCUGAGAGGACGACCAGCCACACUGGAACUGAGACACGGUCCAGACUCCUACGGGAGGCAGCAGUGGGGAAUUUUGGACAAUGGGCGCAAGCCUGAUCCAGCAAUGCCGCGUGAGUGAAGAAGGCCUUCGGGUUGUAAAGCUCUUUUGUCAGGGAAGAAACGGGUGGGGCUAAUAUCCUCAGCUAAUGACGGUACCUGAAGAAUAAGCACCGGCUAACUACGUGCCAGCAGCCGCGGUAAUACGUAGGGUGCAAGCGUUAAUCGGAAUUACUGGGCGUAAAGCGUGCGCAGGCGGUUUUGUAAGUCUGUCGUGAAAUCCCCGGGCUCAACCUGGGAAUGGCGAUGGAGACUGCAAGGCUAGAAUCUGGCAGAGGGGGGUAGAAUUCCACGUGUAGCAGUGAAAUGCGUAGAGAUGUGGAGGAACACCGAUGGCGAAGGCAGCCCCCUGGGUCAAGAUUGACGCUCAUGCACGAAAGCGUGGGGAGCAAACAGGAUUAGAUACCCUGGUAGUCCACGCCCUAAACGAUGUCUACUAGUUGUCGGGUUUUAAUUAACUUGGUAACGCAGCUAACGCGUGAAGUAGACCGCCUGGGGAGUACGGUCGCAAGAUUAAAACUCAAAGGAAUUGACG
rnacentral:rRNA from 1 species